UACGGAGGGUGCAAGCGUUGUUCGGAAGUACUGGGCGUAAAGCGCGUGUAGGCGGACCGAUAAGUUGGGAGUGAAAGCCCUGGGCUCAACCCAGGAAGUGCUUCCAAUACUGCCGGUCUUGAGUUCCGGAGAGGGUGGUGGAAUUCCCGGUGUAGAGGUGAAAUUCGUAGAUAUCGGGAGGAACACCAGUGGCGAAGGCGACCACCUGGACGAGAACUGACGCUGAGACGCGAAAGCGUGGGGAGCAAACAGG
rnacentral:rRNA from 1 species